GUAAACUCUGACAUUCAAAAUCUGAAGUUCUUACUCCUAUGUUUUCAAGAGAUGUCGGGACUGACAAUAAACUUUGCCAAAAGCGAAGUAAUGGUGCUAGGCUAUUCAGGGGAGGAAUCCCGACGCAUUGCCAAUAUGCUUAAUUGCCGACUAGGAUCGUUCCCGACCUCCUACCUUGGCCUCCCGAUUAGUGACUCCCGCCUCCAGGCGAAAGAUCUUCGCCCCAUGGUUACCAAGCUUCAACACAGAGUCGAACCGUGGCAAGGGUGGUGGCUAUCCAAGGCGCCCCGGAUCGUGUUGAUGAACUCCUCCCUGGUUAGCCUGCUUAUGUACUUGAUGCGAUUCUAUAGUUUGCAUGAAUCCCUUCACCAGGAAGUCGCCAAAUAUUUGUCUAGGUUCUUCUGGGCAGGACCAGACAAUAGACAAAAAUAUCACAUGGUGAAGUGGUCCGAGGUUUGCAAGCCAAAGAACCAAGGCGGUUUGGGAGUCAUCUCUUCCAAGCAGAUGAACAUAGCCUUGCUCUCUAAAUGGCUAUGGCGCAUUGAGGCAGGGGAUGGGGGCCUAUGGCUCCAGAUCAUCCGUGCAAAGUACCUGCGUGGACAACCCCUUGCCUUCGCCUCCCGGACGGGUGGCUCCCAGUUUUCGCAAUCGGUCAUCCAGCUAAUGCCGGUCCUACGGAUUGGAUCAUCCAUCUCGGUAGGGACGGGCACCAAUACCCUGUUCUAG
rnacentral:rRNA from 1 species